rnacentral:rRNA from 1 species
UUGGACCUGAUAUCAGGCAAGAUUACCCGCUGAACUUAACAUAC